rnacentral:lncRNA from 1 species
AUGCUCACACUCACAUGCUCACAUAACAGACACGUGCUCACACAUGUUCACACACAUACACACACACCUCAGUCCUCACACAGCUCUCAUGCUCACCCACACACGUGCUCACACUCACACAAUGCUUGCACACGUGCUCACGGUCACACAUGUGCUCACACAUGGUCAUUCACAUUAACACACAAGCUCACAUGUGCUCACACAUGGUCAUUCACAUGCUUACACACAGUCAUGCACACACACACACCCAUGCUCUCAUGUGCGCACUCACACUCACACACACCUUGCACAGGUCCACGGACGACCGUGUUUAUUUUAGCUAAAGCGAAGGGAAGUAAGAGGCAAACCCGGAGACUCAGCGAGGAGAGGAAGGCAGCACAGCAAAGGACAACAGCGGCAGGCAGGACCUCCGCCCUUGGGCAGGCACCUGCGGGACCUCCGCCCUUGGGCAGGCAGCUGGGGGACCUCCACCCUCGGGCAGGCAGCUGGGGGACCUCCACCCUCGGGCAGGCAGCUGGGGGACCUCCACCCUCGGGCAGGCAGCUGGGGGACCUCCGCCCUCAGGCAGGCAGCUGGGGGACCUCCACCCUCGGGCAGGCAGCUGGGGGACCUCUGCCCUCGGGCAGGCAGCUGGGGGACCUCCACCCUCGGGCAGGCAGCUGGGGGACCUCCGCCCUCAGGCAGGCAGCUGGGGGACCUCCACCCUCGGGCAGGCAGCUGGGGGACCUCCGCCCUCGGGCAGGCAGCUGCUGGAACAGUGCACUCUGGCUCCAGGCGGGGACGUCGGGGCAGAUGGGCUCUGGGCAGAGGUUUGCGUGUCUGAGGCCACCGGGCAGGCUCCGGACCACCCGGGAACAACGGAGGGAGCCGGGCAUGCGGGGGGGGUGGUGGUGUCCUGAAUCAGUGGUGGUGGGGGUGUGUGUCCUGACUCAGUGUGGGGGGUGUCCUGACUCAAUGGUAGGGGGUAGGGGGAGCUCCCUGGGGUGCAGGUGCAGGCGGUUCCUGGGGAGGGGCCCCUCCCUGGGUCAUCGGCACCCCUGGAGCUGCAGAGCAGGGCCUGGUUCUGAAGGGGGGGGUGGGAGGGCACUGCAGCAUCUGCCGGUCACCCCCUCCGUGCUUCGGGACAUUGCCCUCUCCCUCUGA